AAAAGCACUGUUUUUGCCCGCAUUGAGUAUUGCGUAAAAGACUCGUUUCACAAGUGCCAACGAUAACGAAGCACUCGCAGUCGCAGCGUAACCUGACGGCCUAACGGCCUGAUCUUACAAAGCUAAAGCGCGGUUGGACCCACCGGGCAACAGAAGCGGAUUCCG
rnacentral:tmRNA from 1 species